UUUCUGACCGGCUUUUGAGCAGAUGUUCCUAAAGCAUGGCCAGGGGAUAUUUGUCGGGCAAUGCGGCCCAAAGGAUCUGAACGGAAACGUUGAUCCCUUCCUUUCAAGAAAGGAAGACAAUAGCAUACUUU
rnacentral:ncRNA from 2 species